rnacentral:tRNA from 1 species
AAAUAAGAAGCGAAUAAUUGCAAUCAGUUUCGACCUGAUCAUCUUGGUGUUAAAUCAUCCUUAUUUA